GCUAUUUAUAAGUCGCUUAUAAUUUUAUUGUUUGAGCUAAAUUCUAAGGCGACAAGCUCCGCCGGACGCAGCACUUUGAAUGGAGUAGGAAAUUUCUGAACUGGAGAUAACGCAAUCACUAUAUUUUCGAACAAUGCGCUAAAAGGUUUUCCAUGCAGCUUCCAAGUUUAAUUUUUCGCUAUCACUACCUCGCAGCCGGUUGCUGCAUUCAUCAAAGUCAAUCUGCAAGUACAUUUGGUGCGGGGAACGAGAAUUUGAAAGAAUUCAAUGUUACUCUGUCGAAAAUUUUUAUUUAGAUUCCAUAAAUACAACGGAGCCUGCACUUUAUUAGGAAAGCUGUAAAAAAUGUCUAGAUUAUACAGGACAUAAAAAGACCCUUUCACAAUAUAUGCGUGAAGACGGACAUAAAAUAGGAGAGCCUGAUUAUUCUUUUUUUAUAUAAAAUCAUAUUA